rnacentral:rRNA from 1 species
GAGUUUGAUCAUGGCUCAGAUUGAACGCUGGCGGCAGGCCUAACACAUGCAAGUCGAGCGGUAGAGAGAAGCUUGCUUCUCUUGAGAGCGGCGGACGGGUGAGUAAUGCCUAGGAAUCUGCCUGGUAGUGGGGGAUAACGCUCGGAAACGGACGCUAAUACCGCAUACGUCCUACGGGAGAAAGCAGGGGACCUUCGGGCCUUGCGCUAUCAGAUGAGCCUAGGUCGGAUUAGCUAGUCGGUGAGGUAAUGGCUCACCAAGGCGACGAUCCGUAACUGGUCUGAGAGGAUGAUCAGUCACACUGGAACUGAGACACGGUCCAGACUCCUACGGGAGGCAGCAGUGGGGAAUAUUGGACAAUGGGACGAAAGCCUGAUCCAGCCAUGCCGCGUGUGUG